rnacentral:rRNA from 1 species
CCUACGGGUGGCAGCAGUAGGGAAUCUUCCACAAUGGGCGAAAGCCUGAUGGAGCAACGCCGCGUGGGUGAAGAAGGUCUUCGGAUCGUAAAACCCUGUUGUUAGAGAAGAAAGUGCGUGCGAGUAACUGUUCACGUUUCGACGGUAUCUAUCCAGAAAGCCACGGCUAACUACGUGCCAGCAGCCGCGGUAAUACGUAGGUGGCAAGCGUUAUCCGGAUUUAUUGGGCGUAAAGGGAACGCAGGCAGUCUUUUAAGUCUGAUGUGAAAGCCGUCGGCUUAACCGGAAUAGUGCAUUGGAAACUGGGGGACUGGAGUGCGGAAAGGGAGAAUGGAACUCGAUGUGUAGCGGUGAAAUGCGUAGAUAUAUGGAAGAACACCAGUGGCGAAAGCGGCUCACUGGACUGUAACUGACGCUGAGGUUCGAAAGCGUGGGUAGCAAACAGGAUUAGAUACCCUUGUAGUC